rnacentral:rRNA from 1 species
UACAGAGGUCCCAAGCGUUGUUCGGAUUCACUGGGCGUAAAGGGUGCGUAGGUGGCGAAGUAAGUCGGAUGUGAAAUCUCCGAGCUCAACUCGGAAAUGGCAUUGGAAACUACUUUGCUCGAGGGUCGGAGGGGGGACUGGAAUUCCCAGUGUAGCGGUGAAAUGCGUAGAUAUCGUAAGGAAGACCAGUGGCGAAGGCGGGUCUCUGGACAGUUCCUGACACUGAGACACGAAGGCCAGGGGAGCAAACGGG